UGAUCAUAAUGAUUCAUUUAUUUUAUAAGGAACGAUUUGGUCUCAUAAGUUGUUUUGAUUCAAUAGGGUCCUGAUGGUCAUCCAGGACUUAAUGGGGCUGCUGGCCUUCCAGGCAUGAAAGGAGAAAAGGGUGAAAAAGGUCCUAAUGGCUCCAUUGGUGAAAAGGGUGACUCUGGACAAAGAGGAUUACCAGGCCCCCCAGGGAAAGAUGGCGUUGUUGGGGAGCCUGGCCCCCCUGGCCUCCCUGGUCCUCCUGGGCCCCCUGGAGCCAGCUGUGGAGUGGGACUUGGAUUUGAGGAUAUAGAAGGCUCUGGAAGCAUUAGAUUGUUGAGUGAACCCAAAACUGCAGGACCAACAGUGCCAAACGUAAGUUUAUUUUUAAAAUCAGAACUCUUUAAGUGACCUGAUCUCUUCAGAAAUAAGAUC
rnacentral:lncRNA from 1 species